UUGGAGGGCAAGUCUGGUGCCAGCAGCCGCGGUAAUUCCAGCUCCAAUAGCGUAUAUUAAAGUUGUUGCAGUUAAAAAGCUCGUAGUUGAAUUUCGGGGUUUAUCCGUCGGUCGGGCUUUCGGGUCUGUACUGGCGUGAUGGAUUCCUACCUUCUGAAUAACCGGCAUGUCAUUAAUUUGGUGCGCCGGGGAAGCAGGACUGUUACCUUGAAAAAAUUAGAGUGCUUAAAGCAGGCUUAUGCCUGAAUACAUUAGCAUGGAAUAAUGAAAUAGGACGGCAUGGUUCUAUUUUGUUGGUUUCUAGGAUCACCGUAAUGAUUAAUAGGGAUAGUUGGGGGCAUUAGUAUUCAAUUGUCAGAGGUGAAAUUCUUGGAUUUAUUGAAGACUAACUUCUGCGAAAGCAUUUGCCAAGGAUGUUUUCAUUAAUCAAGAACGAAAGUUAGGGGAUCGAAGACGAUCAGAUACCGUCGUAGUCUUAACCAUAAACUAUGCCGACUAGGGAUCGGACGAUGUUAAUUUUUUAAUGACUCGUUCGGCGCCUUACGGGAAAC
rnacentral:rRNA from 1 species